GGUGGGUUGGCGUAAUGGCAACGCGUUAGUUUCCGGCUGUUCGAAUCGACAGACUGAGCUAAAGAUUCUGGGUUCGAGUCCCAGGCCCGUCG